CUGUCUCAAAAAAAUAAAAGGCCAGGUGCGGUGGCUCACGCUUGUAAUCCCAGCACUUUGAGAGGCCAAGGUGGGCAGAUCACCUGAGGUCAGGAGUUCGAGACCAGCCUGCCUGACAUGGCGAAACCCCAUCUCCACUAAAAAUACAAAAAAUUAGCUGGGUGUGGUGGCAGGCGCCUGUAAUCCCAGCUACUCGAGAGGCUGAGGCAGGAGAAUCGCUUGAACCCUAGAGGAG
rnacentral:lncRNA from 10 species